ACAAAAUCUGGUAAUUUUUGUUUCUUUAGGAAUUAUUUCUGCAUUAUCUUCUCAAAACCGAAGUUCUGUUGUUGACUGCUGACAUGUCGUCUGCUCACUGCCAGCCAGGUUUAUUUCCUCUGAGGAUCCUCCUCAACGACGACGGCCAAAACCUGUUUUCGUAGUCCACUUUCCAAAAUUCUCGUUACCUGAACGGGACCACACUGCCUCUGGCAACUGACGCAUGGCACACUUCGCUUGCUCUCAGACAUAGGGAUACAAACGCAGUGCUGAAUGUCUCGCACGUGCUCAUAAUCAUUCUUUACGGAGUAAACUCUAUCUCCCUUAAAAUCACGCGUCCCUGUUCCGCCCGUUCUUCACAACAAUGGAGGGGAGCCAAGGACGAAGAAUUCCUAUAGGUAGUCACAACAUGGAGGAAAACUCGGAUUACUCGCAUGAGCUACGAUCGUUCUCGAGACAGCUUGGAGGAACAUCACAGAAAGAGCACUCGGCACUUCCUUAUUGCAGUUGCAGGAAAAAAUGUACUCGUCUGUGGCAACUAACAGAGCAGGAGGCCAGCAAGAAUCAAUGACGUCAUAUUUUGGCAUGUUCAACAUCCAACCAAUCCAAGCUGCAACACGAAACCAGUGGAAUGGUUCCCCUGCCAUGAAAGGAAGGCAUUACUGUAAGGAAUUACCCCACUGUUUUCCAAUGAGCUUGCACACCUUUCAUGAAAGAGCAAACAAACAUAGCAAGCAUCCCACUGCAUCAACACCGCAAAAGACCGCCGCAUCUGCAGUGACAACUGACAAGAACCAUGCAGUCUCAUUUCUGUGAUGAGAGAUUCAAUUCAUAAAAUGGGCUGACCAACGUAAUGUCCAAUGGAGGCCUCACAUAUACAUAGCGCGGUUUGAUUUGUCCGGGUUAGACAGCUUCCCUCAAUUCUGGGAAGAAGGUAUUGGGUUCUAUUUUUAAAUAUGUAAUUCGGGGUGAAAUCGGGUUACUACAUUUUCCAGCAAGCCGCCUGCAGUUAAAAUACAUAUAUUGGUCAAACAUACAUAGCUCGCUAUUUAUAGUGACAAGGAUCACAUGUUGUAACAUCAAGUGUGCUCCGCAUCGUUUAUUUGUAAUAUUAGCAGGAGACACGCACACAAAUUACUAAACAGUGCACGCAAUGCGUGAUACAACAUGAUACGUGACUGGACUACGUGUGGGAGAAAUUGGGUAAACCUGAAUUGGUCGUAAACUGAUUUGGGAGGGAAUAAUCAUGUUUAACCCUGAAAAUGUGUUUUACCCUACAAAUACAGUACUGUUUGCUCUGUCAAUUAGAGUAAAAAUAAAUGUUUUUUUGGUUCUUC